GACGAACGCUGGCGGCGUGCUUAACACAUGCAAGUCGAACGAAAAGAGGGAAAGAGCUUGCUCUUUCCGGAAUUGAGUGGCAAACGGGUGAGUAACACGUAAACAACCUGCCUUCAGGAUGGGGACAACAGACGGAAACGACUGCUAAUACCGAAUAAGUUCCAAGGGCCGCAUGGCCCAUGGAAGAAAAGGUGGCCUCUACCUGUAAGCUAUCGCCUGAAGAGGGGUUUGCGUCUGAUUAGCUGGUUGGAGGGGUAACGGCCCACCAAGGCGACGAUCAGUAGCCGGUCUGAGGGGAUGAACGGCCACACUGGAACUGAGACACGGUCCAGACUCCUACGGGAGGCAGCAGUGGGGAAUCUUCCGCAAUGGGCGAAAGCCUGACGAAGCAACGCCGCGUGAGUGAUGACGGCCUUCGGGUUGUAAAACUCUGUGAUCCGGGACGAAAAGGCAGGGUGCGAAGAACAAACUGCAUUGACGGUACCGGAAAAGCAAGCCACGGCUAACUACGUGCCAGCAGCCGCGGUAAUACGUAGGUGGCAAGCGUUGUCCGGAAUUAUUGGGCGUAAAGCGCGCGCAGGCGGCUUCCCAAGUCCCUCUUAAAAGUGCGGGGCUUAACCCCGUGAUGGGAAGGAAACUGGGAAGCUGGAGUAUCGGAGAGGAAAGUGGAAUUCCUAGUGUAGCGGUGAAAUGCGUAGAGAUUAGGAAGAACACCGGUGGCGAAGGCGACUUUCUGGACGAAAACUGACGCUGAGGCGCGAAAGCGUGGGGAGCAAACAGG
rnacentral:rRNA from 1 species